rnacentral:rRNA from 1 species
AUACGGAGGGGGUUAGCGUUGUUCGGAAUUACUGGGCGUAAAGCGUACGUAGGCGGAUUAGUAAGUUAGGGGUGAAAUCCCGAGGCUCAACCUCGGAACUGCCUCUAAGACUGCUAGUCUUGAGUUCGAGAGAGGUGAGUGGAAUUCCUAGUGUAGAGGUGAAAUUCGUAGAUAUUAGGAGGAACACCAGUGGCGAAGGCGGCUCACUGGCUCGAUACUGACGCUGAGGUACGAAAGUGUGGGGAGCAAACAGGAUUAGAAACCCUGGUAGUCC